rnacentral:rRNA from 1 species
UAGGGAAUCUUGGUCAAUGGGCGCAAGCCUGAACCAGCCAUGCCGCGUGUGUGAAGAAGGCCUUCGGGUUGUAAAGCACUUUCAGUCGUGAAGAAAAGUUUGAGGUUAAUAACCUCGAGCCUUGACGUUAACGACAGAAGAAGCACCGGCUAACUCCGUGCCAGCAGCCGCGGUAAUACGGAGGGUGCGAACGUUAAUCGGAAUUACUGGGCGUAAAGCGCGCGUAGGCGGUUUGAUAAGUUGGAUGUGAAAGCCCCGGGCUCAACCUGGGAACUGCAUUCAAAACUGUCAGGCUAGAGUUUGGUAGAGGGAGGUGGAAUUUCCUGUGUAGCGGUGAAAUGCGUAGAUAUAGGAAGGAACACCAGUGGCGAAGGCGGCCUCCUGGACCAAAACUGACGCUGAGGUGCGAAAGCGUGGGGAGCAAACAGGAUUAGAUACCCGUGUAGUCC